CCGUUAUUAUCCAUCAGUUUUAAAUUGAACACCAAUAAUUAAUCGAUAGGAACCUACCGGCUCCGCGGCUCCGUGAAGAAGUGUGUUCUCUGUCAGUUCGGUCAUCGCUGUCUUCCGUUAACGGACAACCAUCUCAUGCAGGAGACCGCGGUUACGCACUGGCAACGUGGCUGAUGACCCCCCCUUGCCAACCCACAGACUGACCGGGAACGGAGGUAUAAUGAUCUCCAUUCUCACACCCGGUCAGUUGUGGAGAGGGGGAUCGGCCAGCUGAAGAGCCGGUGGCGCUGCCUGGACAGGACUGGGGGCAUGCUUUUAUAUCGGCCGGAAAAGGUGUGCCCAGUGUAUUGGCGUGUGCUGUCCUCCACAAUGUUGCGCACAGACACGCUGUGCCAUUGGUUGAGGUGGUGGGGUAACUACAGGAACCAGACCCUGGACCCAUUAACGCUCAACACAAUCCAGGUGCCAUUCAGACCCGACACCAAGUAAUUGCAACAAUAUAAAAAAGCACAGCACUUGUGAGGACACGGCCGGUUGGAUGGGACCCAGCAUCGGGGGGAGCGCAGGAAGUGCCCCUGGAGACCCCAGCCUGCACAGGAGAUUCUAAGGUGGUGCGUGGGGUGGCCGUGGACUGUACUGGGGUGGAGUGGGUGCCACCUGAUGCUCCACUGUCUGUGUGGAAAAUGAAAAAUA